AUGUUCAUUGCUGGUUUUUAUUUUUUAUUUUUUUCCUGACUUCCUAUUGGAUACUGAAGGCAUCUUUUGUCACUACCUCUUCUGAGACAC
rnacentral:snoRNA from 1 species